rnacentral:rRNA from 1 species
GGGUCAGUAGGUUGGUCGUGCCACCGGUACGUACUGGUCUCACUGAUUCCUCCUUCCUGAAGAACCGUAAUGCCAUUAAUUUGGUGCUGCGGGGAAACAGGACUGUUACUUUGAAAAAAUUAGAGUGUUUAAAGCAAGCUAACGCUUGAAUACAUUAGCAUGGGAUAAUGAAAUAGGACGAUCGAUCCUAUUUUGUUGGUUUCUAGGAUUGACGUA